CAGUAGCCGCGGUAAUACAGAGGGUGCGAGCGUUAAUCGGAUUUACUGGGCGUAAAGCGUGCGUAGGCGGUUCGUUAAGUCUGUUGUGAAAGCCCCGGGCUCAACCUGGGAAUGGCAAUGGAUACUGGCGAGCUAGAGUGUGUCAGAGGAUGGUGGAAUUCCCGGUGUAGCGGUGAAAUGCGUAGAGAUCGGGAGGAACAUCAGUGGCGAAGGCGGCCAUCUGGGACAACACUGACGCUGAGGCACGAAAGCGUGGGGAGCAAACAGGAUUAGAUACCCGGGUAGUCCCUGUCUCUUAUAC
rnacentral:rRNA from 1 species